rnacentral:rRNA from 1 species
CACGUAGGGUGCGAGCGUUGUCCGGAAUUAUUGGGCGUAAAGAGCUCGUAGGCGGUGUGUCGCGUCGGCCGUGAAAACUUGCAGCUUAACUGUGGGCGUGCGGUCGAUACGGGCAUCACUGGAGUUCGGCAGGGGAGACUGGAAUUCCUGGUGUAGCGGUGAAAUGCGCAGAUAUCAGGAGGAACACCGGUGGCGAAGGCGGUUCUCUGGGCAUGUCCUGACGCUGAGGAGCGAAAGUGUGGGGAGCGAACAGG